UUCACCCACGCUUAUCGAGUAACUUUUGCAGUACAUAGCAAACGCUCCAUGAGUACGCAAUUUUAAAUGUUACUUCUCACCAUAUUACUGCAAAAUCGCAUUUAGAAGUAAUUUCACCGACAACGUUACGGAUGCAAGUUUUAACGCAUCAUAUGGGGGGAAACGAAGGGGAAGCGUACAUGAUAGAGAAUCGGAUGAGCACAGUCACCCUCUAUAUAGAUAUCCAUUACAAAAAAGAAA